ACUAAGCGUACACGGUGGAUGCCCUGGCAGUCAGAGGCGAUGAAGGACGUGCUAAUCUGCGAUAAGCGUCGGUAAGGUGAUAUGAACCGUUAUAACCGGCGAUUUCCGAAUGGGGAAACCCAGUGUGAUUCGUCACACUAUCAUUAACUGAAUCCAUAGGUUAAUGAGGCGAACCGGGGGAACUGAAACAUCUAAGUACCCCGAGGAAAAGAAAUCAACCGAGAUUCCCCCAGUAGCGGCGAGCGAACGGGGAGCAGCCCAGAGCCUGAAUCAGUGUGUGUGUUAGUGGAAGCGUCUGGAAAGGCGCGCGAUACAGGGUGACAGCCCCGUACACAAAAAUGCACAUGCUGUGAGCUCGAUGAGUAGGGCGGGACACGUGGUAUCCUGUCUGAAUAUGGGGGGACCAUCCUCCAAGGCUAAAUACUCCUGACUGACCGAUAGUGAACCAGUACCGUGAGGGAAAGGCGAAAAGAACCCCGGCGAGGGGAGUGAAAAAGAACCUGAAACCGUGUACGUACAAGCAGUGGGAGCACAGAGCAAUCUGUGUGACUGCGUACCUUUUGUAUAAUGGGUCAGCGACUUAUAUUCUGUAGCAAGGUUAACCGAAUAGGGGAGCCGAAGGGAAACCGAGUCUUAACUGGGCGUUAAGUUGCAGGGUAUAGACCCGAAACCCGGUGAUCUAGCCAUGGGCAGGUUGAAGGUUGGGUAACACUAACUGGAGGACCGAACCGACUAAUGUUGAAAAAUUAGCGGAUGACUUGUGGCUGGGGGUGAAAGGCCAAUCAAACCGGGAGAUAGCUGGUUCUCCCCGAAAGCUAUUUAGGUAGCGCCUCGUGAAUUCAUCUCCGGGGGUAGAGCACUGUUUCGGCAAGGGGGUCAUCCCGACUUACCAACCCGAUGCAAACUGCGAAUACCGGAGAAUGUUAUCACGGGAGACACACGGCGGGUGCUAACGUCCGUCGUGAAGAGGGAAACAACCCAGACCGCCAGCUAAGGUCCCAAAGUCAUGGUUAAGUGGGAAACGAUGUGGGAAGGCCCAGACAGCCAGGAUGUUGGCUUAGAAGCAGCCAUCAUUUAAAGAAAGCGUAAUAGCUCACUGGUCGAGUCGGCCUGCGCGGAAGAUGUAACGGGGCUAAACCAUGCACCGAAGCUGCGGCAGCGACGCUUAUGCGUUGUUGGGUAGGGGAGCGUUCUGUAAGCCUGUGAAGGUGUACUGUGAGGUAUGCUGGAGGUAUCAGAAGUGCGAAUGCUGACAUAAGUAACGAUAAAGCGGGUGAAAAGCCCGCUCGCCGGAAGACCAAGGGUUCCUGUCCAACGUUAAUCGGGGCAGGGUGAGUCGACCCCUAAGGCGAGGCCGAAAGGCGUAGUCGAUGGGAAACAGGUUAAUAUUCCUGUACUUGGUGUUACUGCGAAGGGGGGACGGAGAAGGCUAUGUUGGCCGGGCGACGGUUGUCCCGGUUUAAGCGUGUAGGCUGGUUUUCCAGGCAAAUCCGGAAAAUCAAGGCUGAGGCGUGAUGACGAGGCACUACGGUGCUGAAGCAACAAAUGCCCUGCUUCCAGGAAAAGCCUCUAAGCAUCAGGUAACAUCAAAUCGUACCCCAAACCGACACAGGUGGUCAGGUAGAGAAUACCAAGGCGCUUGAGAGAACUCGGGUGAAGGAACUAGGCAAAAUGGUGCCGUAACUUCGGGAGAAGGCACGCUGAUAUGUAGGUGAAGUCCCUCGCGGAUGGAGCUGAAAUCAGUCGAAGAUACCAGCUGGCUGCAACUGUUUAUUAAAAACACAGCACUGUGCAAACACGAAAGUGGACGUAUACGGUGUGACGCCUGCCCGGUGCCGGAAGGUUAAUUGAUGGGGUCAGCGCAAGCGAAGCUCUUGAUCGAAGCCCCGGUAAACGGCGGCCGUAACUAUAACGGUCCUAAGGUAGCGAAAUUCCUUGUCGGGUAAGUUCCGACCUGCACGAAUGGCGUAAUGAUGGCCAGGCUGUCUCCACCCGAGACUCAGUGAAAUUGAACUCGCUGUGAAGAUGCAGUGUACCCGCGGCAAGACGGAAAGACCCCGUGAACCUUUACUAUAGCUUGACACUGAACAUUGAGCCUUGAUGUGUAGGAUAGGUGGGAGGCUUUGAAGUGUGGACGCCAGUCUGCAUGGAGCCGACCUUGAAAUACCACCCUUUAAUGUUUGAUGUUCUAACGUGGACCCGUAAUCCGGGUUGCGGACAGUGUCUGGUGGGUAGUUUGACUGGGGCGGUCUCCUCCUAAAGAGUAACGGAGGAGCACGAAGGUUGGCUAAUCCUGGUCGGACAUCAGGAGGUUAGUGCAAUGGCAUAAGCCAGCUUGACUGCGAGCGUGACGGCGCGAGCAGGUGCGAAAGCAGGUCAUAGUGAUCCGGUGGUUCUGAAUGGAAGGGCCAUCGCUCAACGGAUAAAAGGUACUCCGGGGAUAACAGGCUGAUACCGCCCAAGAGUUCAUAUCGACGGCGGUGUUUGGCACCUCGAUGUCGGCUCAUCACAUCCUGGGGCUGAAGUAGGUCCCAAGGGUAUGGCUGUUCGCCAUUUAAAGUGGUACGCGAGCUGGGUUUAGAACGUCGUGAGACAGUUCGGUCCCUAUCUGCCGUGGGCGCUGGAGAACUGAGGGGGGCUGCUCCUAGUACGAGAGGACCGGAGUGGACGCAUCACUGGUGUUCGGGUUGUCAUGCCAAUGGCACUGCCCGGUAGCUAAAUGCGGAAGAGAUAAGUGCUGAAAGCAUCUAAGCACGAAACUUGCCCCGAGAUGAGUUCUCCCUGACUCCUUGAGAGUCCUGAAGGAACGUUGAAGACGACGACGUUGAUAGGCCGGGUGUGUAAGCGCAGCGAUGCGUUGAGCUAACCGGUACUAAUGAACCGUGAGGCUUAACC
rnacentral:rRNA from 1 species